UCAGGACGAACGCUGGCGGCGUGCUUAACACAUGCAAGUCGAACGGAAAGGCCCUUCGGGGUACUCGAGUGGCGAACGGGUGAGUAACACGUGGGUGAUCUGCCCUGCACUUUGGGAUAAGCCUGGGAAACUGGGUCUAAUACCGAAUAUGACCGCGCACUUCCUGGUGUGUGGUGGAAAGCUUUUGCGGUGUGGGAUGGGCCCGCGGCCUAUCAGCUUGUUGGUGGGGUAAUGGCCUACCAAGGCGACGACGGGUAGCCGGCCUGAGAGGGUGACCGGCCACACUGGGACUGAGAUACGGCCCAGACUCCUACGGGAGGCAGCAGUGGGGAAUAUUGCACAAUGGGCGCAAGCCUGAUGCAGCGACGCCGCGUGAGGGAUGACGGCCUUCGGGUUGUAAACCUCUUUCAAUAGGGACGAAGCGCAAGUGACGGUACCUAUAGAAGAAGGACCGGCCAACUACGUGCCAGCAGCCGCGGUAAUACGUAGGGUCCGAGCGUUGUCCGGAAUUACUGGGCGUAAAGAGCUCGUAGGUGGUUUGUCGCGUUGUUCGUGAAAACUCACAGCUUAACUGUGGGCGUGCGGGCGAUACGGGCAGACUAGAGUACUGCAGGGGAGACUGGAAUUCCUGGUGUAGCGGUGGAAUGCGCAGAUAUCAGGAGGAACACCGGUGGCGAAGGCGGGUCUCUGGGCAGUAACUGAC
rnacentral:rRNA from 1 species